GUGAACGCUGGCGGUAGGCCUAACACAUGCAGGUCGAACGGCAGCACAGUAAGAGCUUGCUCUUACGGGUGGCGAGUGGCGGACGGGUGAGGAAUACAUCGGAAUCUACUUUUUCGUGGGGGAUAACGUAGGGAAACUUACGCUAAUACCGCAUACGACCUACGGGUGAAAGCAGGGGAUCUUCGGACCUUGCGCGAUUGAAUGAGCCGAUGUCGGAUUAGCUAGUUGGCGGGGUAAAGGCCCACCAAGGCGACGAUCCGUAGCUGGUCUGAGAGGAUGAUCAGCCACACUGGAACUGAGACACGGUCCAGACUCCUACGGGAGGCAGCAGUGGGGAAUAUUGGACAAUGGGCGCAAGCCUGAUCCAGCCAUACCGCGUGGGUGAAGAAGGCCUUCGGGUUGUAAAGCCCUUUUGUUGGGAAAGAAAAGCAGCAGGUUAAUACCCCGCUGUUCUGACGGUACCCAAAGAAUAAGCACCGGCUAACUUCGUG
rnacentral:rRNA from 1 species